UACGUAGGUGGCAAGCGUUGUCCGGAUUUAUUGGGUUUAAAGGGUGCGUAGGCGGUCUAUUAAGUCAGUGCUGAAAUAUCCCGGCUUAACCGGGAGGGUGGCAUUGAUACUGAUAGACUUGAGUAAAGUUGAGGUUGGCGGAAUUGACGGUGUAGCGGUGAAAUGCUUAGAUAUGACAUAGAACACCAAUUGCGAAGGCAGCUCGCUACACGAAUAUUGACUCUGAGGCACGAAAGCGUGGGGAUCAAACAGG
rnacentral:rRNA from 1 species